rnacentral:rRNA from 1 species
AACCUUUACUAUAGCUUGACACUGAACAUUGAGCCUUGAUGUGUAGGAUAGGUGGGAGGCUUUGAAGUGUGGACGCCAGUCUGCAUGGAGCCGACCUUGAAAUACCACCCUUUAAUGUUUGAUGUUCUAACGUGGACCCGUUACCCGGGUUGCGGACAGUGUCUGGUGGGUAGUUUGACUGGGGCGGUCUCCUCCUAAAGAGUAACGGAGGAGCACGAAGGUUGGCUAAUCCUGGUCGGACAUCAGGAGGUUAGUGCAAUGGCAUAAGCCAGCUUGACUGCGAGCGUGACGGCGCGAGCAGGUGCGAAAGCAGGUCAUAGUGAUCCGGUGGUUCUGAAUGGAAGGGCCAUCGCUCAACGGAUAAAAGGUACUCCGGGGAUAACAGGCUGAUACCGCCCAAGAGUUCAUAUCGACGGCGGUGUUUGGCACCUCGAUGUCGGCUCAUCACAUCCUGGGGCUGAAGUAGGUCCCAAGGGUAUGGCUGUUCGCCAUUUAAAGUGGUACGCGAGCUGGGUUUAGAACGUCGUGAGACAGUUCGGUCCCUAUCUGCCGUGGGCGCUGGAGAACUGAGGGGGGCUGCUCCUAGUACGAGAGGACCGGAGUGGACGCAUCACUGGUGUUCGGGUUGUCAUGCCAAUGGCACUGCCCGGUAGCUAAAUGCGGAAGAGAUAAGUGCUGAAAGCAUCUAAGCACGAAACUUGCCCCGAGAUGAGUUCUCCCUGAGACUUAAAGUCUCCUGAAGGAACGUUGAAGACGACGACGUUGAUAGGCCGGGUGUGUAAGCGCAGCGAUGCGUUGAGCUAACCGGUACUAAUGAACCGU